ACAGGGAUUCCCCUAGUAACGGCGAGUGAAGCGGGAACAGCUCAAAUUUGAAAUCUGGCCCUCGGGUCCGAGUUGUAAUUUGUAGAGGAUGCUUUUGGUGCGGUGCCUUCCGAGUUCCCUGGAACGGGACGCCUUAGAGGGUGAGAGCCCCGUACGGUUGGACGCCUAGCCUCUGUAAAGCUCCUUCGACGAGUCGAGUAGUUUGGGAAUGCUGCUCUAAAUGGGAGGUAUAUUUCUUCUAAAGCUAAAUACUGGCCAGAGACCGAUAGCGCACAAGUAGAGUGAUCGAAAGAUGAAAAGCACUUUGAAAAGAGGGUUAAAUAGCACGUGAAAUUGUUGAAAGGGAAGCGUUUAUCACCAGACUUUUUCUGGGGGGAUCAUCCGGUGUUCUCACCGGUGCACUUCCCCCAGUUGAGGCCAGCAUCGGUUUUCGGAGGGGGAUAAAAGCUUCGGGAAUGUGACUCCCUCGGGAGUGUUAUAGCCCGUUGCAUAAUACCCUUCUGGGGACCGAGGUUCGCGCAUCUGCAAGGAUGCUGGCAUAAUGGUGAUCAACGACCCGUCUUGAAACACGGACCAAGGAGUCGAACAUUUAUGCGAGUGUUUGGGUGUCAAACCCUCACGCGUAAUGAAAGUGAACGGAGGUGAGAGCCCUUACGGGUGCAUCAUCGACCGAUCCUGAUGUCUUCGGAUGGAUUUGAGUAAGAGCAUAACUGUUCGGACCCGAAAGAUGGUGAACUAUGCGUGGAUAGGGUGAAGCCAGGAGAAAUCCUGGUGGAGGCUCGCAGCGGUUCUGACGUGCAAAUCGAUCGUCAAAUCUGCGCAUGGGGGCGAAAGACUAAUCGAACCAUC
rnacentral:rRNA from 1 species